rnacentral:lncRNA from 1 species
CGGGGACCGAACUCUUGCUGCAGAGUUUCGAGCGCCGCUUCCUGGCGGCGCGCACGCUGCGCUCCUUCCCCUGGCAGGUGGGCGGCGGGCGAGCGGAGAGGCCCGCGGGGCUCGCGGGAGUCCAGGGGCAGACGGGAUGGGUCUCCGUGCUGAAACCCCCGGCGCUCCUGCCACAGCUUAGAAGCAAAGUUAAGAGACUCAUAAUAUUCUGAGCUGCUGUGGGAUAUUUUGCAGAAGGUAAGAAUUCCAGAGUCCCUGGGACUCAUGACCCUGCCUCCUGAAUCUCUCCGGAAGACCUGAGAGAAGAACUACAGGUGUGCUUGUACCCUUUAAAAACACCCCUGUUCAAAGAACAAAACCAUUGAGUCAGCACUGCAGCACGAGGCUGUCCACAUGGAGCCUUUGGAUGAGCUGUACGAGGCGCUGGCGGAGCCUCUGAUGGCCAAGGAGUCCACCCAGGGCCACUGGAGCUAUUUGAUGGUAUGAGAAGGGCACCCUCCUCCCCCUCUCAGCCCAGAUACCCUUCCUGCACAGACAAAGUGAAAACGUGGGUGUGGAUUCAAAUCCUGACUCACCCAUUCUGCAGUCUUAGACAUGAGGUCCGUUAACCUUCUUUAGCCUCAGUUUCCCUGUCUGUAAAUCAAGCACUUCAACAACAAC